rnacentral:rRNA from 1 species
CUGUUCGCCCAUUAAAGUGGCACGCGAGCUGGGUUCAGAACGUCGCGAGACAGUUCGGUCCCUAUCUGUUGUGGGCGUUGGAAAUUUGAGGGCACCUGACUCUAGUACGAGAGGACCGAGUUGGACGAACCUCUAGUGUACCUGUUGUCACGCCAGUGGCAUCGCAGGGUAGCUAUGUUCGGACGAGAUAAGUGCUGAAAGCAUCUAAGCACGAAACUCAGCCCAAGAUGAGAUUUCCUUUAAGGGUCGUUCAAGACUAGGACGUUGAUAGGCUGCAGAUGUAAAGUCAGUAAUGGCAUAGUCGAGCAGUACUAAUUACCCGUAAGCUUUCUA